GGGCGCGUGGCCUAGCCAGGACAGGGCGCUGGCCUUCUAAGCCAGCUGUCGUGGGUUCAAAUCCCACCGCGCUCG
rnacentral:tRNA from 1 species